rnacentral:lncRNA from 1 species
UUGCAAUCGAAGCCACAUUUUUAACAAAGUAUUAUUAUCUGUUUAUUAUUGCUAUAACAAAUUGACGGGUUGUUUGGUUCUUUAGAAGAAAAAUAUUAAUUAUUUACAGCUAAAGUUAUUUACUUUGGACUUACAGUUUUCCUAGUUUUUUUUAAAGAAAAAGGUAAUUGGUUAAGUAUGAUUCAAAACCUUCAUAUUUCUUUUCAAAAGCUUGCUUUUUCUAUUGCUUUAUACGGACAAAAAAUCGCCACUUUUCAAAACACAAAUGUUUUUUUUUUACAAUUUGAAGAAUUUGCAAGAAUCAUAGCACAGAAGAUAAAACAACCGGUUCCUAUUAUGCUGUAAAAACUCACGUAUGAAUUAAUAUUUAUCCCAUUUCAAUGCUCCAAAACCUCUGAUGCUUGCCAAUUUUAUUUUGCUUCUGAUGAUUUUUGGUUUUUUACAAUGCUUCGUUCUUAAUAAUGUGCAUUCAUAUUUAUGUUACAUUUGGCAAUAACGACUUUAACGUUUGGGAAUGCAACGACAAUGAUAACUUGCAAAUGUCCUUUCCCAUAAAAUAUUUUUCCGUUCAUAUAAUUAACUUUUUUCCUUUAAAUGUCAGUUCAUUGCAUAAGAAACUCUUGGCUGUCAAAUUUAAAGGCUUUAUAAUGUUGAUUUUGCAGAUCAGUUUAUUAGUGGAUUCCUAUCUAUAUUGAUCUUUUCCAUUCUCAAUCGGUUUAUACAUACAAACAGAUACCUUUGCUUCUGUAGUAUAGAUGCUUUAUUAGGGACAUAACAUUUUGCAAUGGUUGUACGAGAAGUAGUUUUAUUUGUUUCAUUGAGACAAAAUUCCGACUUUUUUGAACCUAAAAAUUUUUCUUAAUUAAAAUAAGACGCCAAUUCUUAUUAUAUAUAAAAAAAAGAAAUCAUUGGGCCUGACAUUCAGGAACUCCCUCAUAAGUUUCAUCUCCAUAAUCUUCGUUAGCGUAGCGUGCAUCUCCUCCAAAAUGAGAAAUAUCGCCAGGUACACCUCUAACCGAAUCUAUUAAGGUAUCAUCCAUCACAGAAACCUUAGGGAUUGAAGGAAGGAUAUCUCGCAGAAUUUCGAUUUCUGUAGUACCUAUCAAGCCAUCUUUGGGAAACUCUAUGUCAACCUCCAAAUACAAAUCGCCUCUUAAAUCUGUUUUUGAAUCCUUGUACAUUCCUUCACCAGGUAUAAUUAAGCAAUCGCCAGGAUGCAAUAUUUUUCCAAUUGGUUGAACAUAUUCAAGACCUCUUCCAUCUAGGGUCGUCAAAAUAACACGAUUGAAUCCUGUAAGUGCUUCAGCUAAUGAAAUUUUUAAUUUUGCUUUUAAAUCAUCACCUAACCGUUCAAAAACAGGGUGCGGUUUUUGGUGUAAUUGCAAGAUAACAUCACCAGGUGUUAUACCGUAUGCCUCGUCUGCCAUGCCGCGCUGAAUAAUUUUGUCGUUCUCCUUAGCUGAGCGAUUUACGAAAAAUGAAAGCAUUCGCUGUUCAGGAACCGUUCCACUUCCCUUGCAAUGUUUACAGCGAUCUUUACCGCGAAAGGAAACUCCUUUUCCGUUGCAUGUAUCACAUAUAACUUGACUAUUCGUAACAUGAUGUGGUCCGACGUGUUUUAGGUGUUGUUUAACCCCCUUACCAUCGCAAGACAAGCAUGGUUUUUCUUUAGCAAAUCGUUUACCACCACGACCCUGACAGCGAGGGCAUAGUGUGUUUCUAGUUGCACGAAGCUUUACUUCUUUCCCCUUAAACAUAUCUUCUAAAGAAAUCUCGUAGUCGUGAAUUACAUCAGAACCUCUACGUUUCCGGUCUCGAGGAACGUUUUUGCCAGGGCCUCCAGCUUCAAAAUUCAUACCAAACAUCUGAGCUAAAACAUCAUCCAAAUUUACACCCCCAUCAAAUUGACUAUUUGAAUCCGAGUUCAUUCCGUACAUAUCAUACAUUUCUCUAGAUUCAGGAUCUUUCAAAAUAUCAUAUGCUUCUUGAACGCCUCGGAAUCGUUCUGCAGCUUCUUCUUUUUCAUGAAUUGGUGCUUUAUCCGGAUGAUGUAGUAGUGCGAGUCUUUUAUAAGAUUUUUUUAUCUCUUCGGCUGAAGCUUCGAAAUGAACCUCUAGAAUGUCGUAAAGUUUAGUAUCUACAACCAUGCUGAAGUUCACAAAUAAAUUUACAAAUUUUAAUAAUUAUUAUGGAAAUUCGUAUGUCCUUUAACAACGACAGAAUAUAAAUAACGUUUGCAAAUUUAUAAAUGAGUGAACAUCAAUAGACACGACCCCUUAGUGAUAAAUCUAGCAACUUAACUUUUGUAAGAAAAAAUAUUAUGAUAUGCAAAGAUUUGAAUGGAAGUGAUUUCCCGGAUGGUUUGUUCUGAACAAGUUCAAGAAAAAUUUGAAGUUACAUGGUUGGAGGUUGAAUACAGCGUGAAUCAAUUAUAGAAUUAUACAUGAGAAUGAUGUUUUAGUGGAUAAUUUUUCAAAUUAUUUUACAAUAAAUGCUUUAUAAAAAUACACUGGACGAAAUUUAGGAAAACUAAAGUGAACAAUUGCCCACACAAAAUCUCAUUGACAAAAUUGAUCGAUUAACAUUAAAUAUCAAAUUCUAGCAGGCUACCUUGAAUCAAUAAACUACCAAUCGUACUUAAAUUUCC